UGGUUUGAUGUGGCUACUCAUUGAGAACAGAAUUGUUUUCUGUUGCUUUGAUAAAAAAUUGAAGCAGCUAACUUAUCCCAGGAGGGGAUCCGAGACUCUGAACAUGAGCCAUAUCCUUCAUGUGGAUUGCCCCAGCUGUGGUGGGUGUCGCUCACUGACCCCCCUACAUGGGGAUGGGGUAGGGCAGUGUUUCUCCCUAGUAGCUGACUUAGAACUGGUGAAGACCAGGGGAAUCUGACUUUCUAAUUAAAACAAAGAAUCACAAAGGCCCACAUUAGGUGUUGACACAAUGUGAUUUCUGCUCAGUGUUUUCCUUGGCAACAUGAAUAAAUUCAAUGAAGUGUGAAUAUGUGGUAGGAGUAAUUAUGACUCUUCUAAGACAGGCUUUUCCUUAAGAGGUGGUGGUCUGGUUACAUGGCCACAGCAGGAUUGGCACUGUACCUGCCCAUGGUUCCCACCACAAGCCAACACAAGAGGUGGUCUCGGAAUCUGGUGCUCAGUGUUGUCAGCUAAGGAGUGGUUCCGAAGCCCUUGGAGCACCUCAAUAAUGUCUAGGAGUAUCCAUAGUGCAAAUCUUUUUUUUCCAUCAGCCUUGGUUGUUGGCCAUAACGACUGCCACAUGGUAUAGGAAUGGCAUAUGCUUUGGGCAGAAGGUGUAUGUCCUCGCAUUCUAAAUAAGUGCAUCUGCAGGCACCUUCUUCUUUCCAGGCAACUAAUGAGCAUCAUCCAUGUGAUACACCAUUGGUGAAUUCUGGCUGGAACUGAGACUGGCUGACAGGGACGGUCUGUCAAGUACCUCCUGGGCUAGAGGUGCUGCUGACAACCCAUACAGGGUGUUAAGCACUGAUGGUCUUUUGGGCUGGCUGCACAUGAUCACUGAAGAGCCUCUGUGGCCUUCCAUUCAGUCUGUGCAGAAGCCCCGAGCUGAGGGGUGGUGCCAUCCAGUUUACAUAGGCGUUAAGCUCUUUUGAGACAGGUAACGGUCAAGGCCCCUAGAUCUCUGUUUCCUUCCCAUAAAGCCUGCAAUCUGAAACUUGGAUUUGAAGGACACCUGAGCCAAGAGUGGUUCUGUCCAGUUCAUCUUGGGUAUAAGCACUAUGGUCAUUUUGGGGGAGUACACUCAUUUGAGGGGAGUACACUCCCUUCUUAAGUCUAUCUAUUUAGUGUCCCUGUGUAUCCAAGUCUCAAGUUGCUGAUCAUUGCAUGGAAUCAUCAGAUUGUCCAUUCAAGGAAUUCAUGGUCUGCAUAGAUCAUUAUUCCCCUCAUGGGAGGAAUAGACCCAACUGAAGCUGAGUUAGAAGUGCUAUUGACUGGUUUGAUGAACUUACAAUUGUUAAGUACCCUGCCACGCACAUCUCAGCAACAGGUUUCAUGUUCAAGUCUCACUGUCCCUGCUGUACUGUUUUUCUCUCCUAUCAUUUCAUUUCCAAUUUGCCCCCUCCUGCUGCUCUAUUUUUCUCUACAGAUAGGUUGUCUUGUAAUGAUUAAAACAACCAUGCAGUCAGGAAAUGUUUGAUAAUGGAUUCAUGGUAAUCAUCACUUGAGUUCUGUCUCAGGUUGGAUGGGCCACCUGGGGCUUUGGCUCUGACUAACUCCAAAUAAGUACCCUUUGGGGUUAAUCAGAAAUAGCCAAAUAUCUCAUCAUCUAAUUAGUGAUGCACAUGAAUGUAUCAAUAAGAUUUCCACUAUUCCUACCCACUGUCUAGAGAAACCACAGCAAAGGAACAGGCUUGGCAGAAUCAGCAGGGAAUGAAGACCCUGUUGAGCUUGACUCUAGUGUGGUUUGUGAAAAGACAUAAGAGGUGUAGAAUAAGUGUGAGGCUCUUGGGCCAUCAGUGAAAUGCCAGUACUCUUACAGUUUUUUCACUUACCCGGUGAGGUAGGGGGAAAGCCUUGAGGGGUUUUCACUUCUGGCUCCAAGUCCCUGGUGUGUUCUGGGUGCAAACUGCUCUGGGGAUAGUGUCAUGUGAGGAGUUUGACUGGGGUGGUAAACCUGUCAAACCAUAAUGCAUAUAUCCUACAGAAAAUUUGGGAAGGACAGAAAACUCCUGAGGAGCAGAAGGGCAAAAGCUCACUUGAUCUUGAUUUUCAGUAUCAUUACAGACUGUGAAAGCAGGACCUCAUGAUCCUUCUUUUUGGGUUUUAAGCUACCUGACAGAAAUAUUGACCCCCCAUUCCCUGAAUUAUGACCCCAAUCCCAUACACCAUUGAUUUUUAACCUGUAGUUUGCAGACCUGUGAGGGGUCCACAGACUAGAUCUAAGGGGUCUGCAAAAGAUAACUAUGAUCAAUCAAAAGUAUGUGAAUACCCACAUUUACAAUUCAAAGGAGACUGCACAUCCAUUCAAAAUUUCCAAAGGGGUUUGCACCUCCAUUAGAAACUUUUUAGAGGUCCACAAAUGAAAAAAAAAAGGUUGAAAACCACUGCCAUGGAUAUUUUU
rfam:Alligator mississippiensis ScZkoYb_72, whole genome shotgun sequence.